CGCCUGGUUUACAAAAACAUGUCUUUUUGUUAAUUAUUUAAGGUCUAGCCUGCUCAAUGAGUGUUAAAUAGCCGCAGUAUUUUGACUGUGCAAAGGUAGCAUAAUCAUUAGUUUUUUAAUUGGAAGCUGGAAUGAAUGGUUGGAUGAGAAAGCGACUGUCUCAUUCUAAUUUUGUUGAAUUUUAUUUUUAAGUUAAAAAGCUUAAAUUUUAUAGAAAGACGAGAAGACCCUGUAGAGUUUUACAAGUGAAAUGCUUGGUUUUUUUUAGGUUUUAAUUUGUAAUUAGGUUUAUUCUUGUUUUAUUGGGGUGAUAUGAAAAUUGGUUUAACUUUUCAUUAUUUUUACAUUUAUUUAUGAUUUAUUGAUCCUGAGUUUUUGGAUUUUUAGAAUUAAUUACCUUAGGGAUAACAGCGUAAUUUCUUUAGAGAGUUCUAAUUGAUAAGGAAGAUUGCGACCUCGAUGUUGGAUUAAAGUUAAUUUUUGGUGCAGAAGCUGGAAUUUUAAGUCUGUUCGACUUUUAAAACUUUACGUGAUCUGAGUUUAGACCGG
rnacentral:rRNA from 1 species